AGCGAACGCUGGCGGUAGGCCUAACACAUGCAAGUCGAACGGCAGCACCGUAACUGCUUGCUCUUACGGGUGGCGCGCGGCGGACGGGCGAGGAAUACAUCGGAAUCUACUUUUUCGUGGGGGAUAACGUAGGGAAACUUACGCUAACACCGCAUUCGUCCCACGGGUGAAAGCAGGGGAUCUUCGGACCUUGCGCGAUUGAAUGGGCCGAUGUCGGAUUAGCCAGUUGGCGGGGUAAAGGCCCUGCACGGCGACGAUCCGUAGCGGGUCUGAGAGGAUGAACAGCCACACUGGAACAGAGGCACGGUCGAGACCCCGAGAGGAGGCAGCAGUGGAGAAUAUUGGACAAUGGGGGCGAGCCUGAUCCAGGCAUACCGGGUGAGUGAAGAAGGCCUUCGGGUUGUAAAGCCCUGUUGUUGGAAGAGAAGAACAGCUGGUUAAGACCGGGCUGUGCUGACGGUACCCAAAGAAUAAGCACCGGCUAACUUCGGG
rnacentral:rRNA from 1 species